UUUCUCUCUCUCUCUUUGGAAGGUGAUUUGCAUGACAUGGGAGCUGUUCCUGAGCCUAUAAAUCAGCCAUAAGGAAGAGGAGAAGUUGCUGUCCAUUUCGGCCGAGAUUGGGUUGUGUUUUUCCAUUUUAUAUUCCUUGAUUUUGCCUUGGAAUCUUUUAUUGAUUGAUGUUUAUUGUUUGAUUGAACUCCAAGGAUCCCAACAAACUGGUAUCAGAGCAAGGAGGAGUGAAAUCUGUCCAAAAAUCGAUCGAAACCUCCAAGGAAAUUGCAAUUCCCACUUUUCGCCGAAUUUGGAACUUCAAAUUCCGGCCAAACUACUGACUUUUUGGCGAAACUGACCCUGGACCCAUAACCAACAGACGAAGGCGCUCCUUGUGGUGGGGCGCGUGACCGGAGCGACG
rnacentral:lncRNA from 1 species